AAAAGAAACGCAAACAGCAUGUGAAACUUUUUCAAAUUUUAUUUAUAUUAUAUUAUAAUUUACACGGAGAAUUGGUAAAUUGAAGAGAGUUUUUGAUUAUUUUCUGAAGAGUAAUGGAAAACGAGAAACUGCAGCCGCCGCGGGAGAGAAUCGCCGAGGAAGAGGAGGAGGUGGAGAUGGAGAUGGAGAGGUUUUUCGCUUUGGUGAGGAAUUUCAAGGAAAUGCGUGAUCGGCGGAGGAAGGAGUUGAUGAUCGGGGAGGAGGAGGAGGAAAUCGCGGCGGAGAAGAGGAGGAAGAGGAUGAAGACGGCGGAAGCGGUGGAGAAUCGGUCGACUUGGAUUCCGAAGUUCGAGAGAGAGGAUUUCGAUGAGGAAUUUCAGGGGAGAGGGCCGGCUUUGAUUCUUCCGAAGCCUUGUAAUCUUGUUAAAGAAGACACCGCGGCGGCGAUGAAGAAGAAAAAGAAAGUGAAAAAUGGAGAUGAGUGUUUGGAUCUUAAUCUCACUCUCUAGUUUCUUUUUUCUUUUCUAUUUGGUACACAAGAAUUUAAUCUGAAUUUGAAAGAAUGAAUAGAGA
rnacentral:misc_RNA from 1 species